ensembl:ncRNA T28B11.11 ncRNA
AUUUGUAUAACCUUUGUGCCUAAAUCUCCUCAUCUCUCCUCUCUCUUGGCUUCGUUCCAAAUCAAACGAACCCGCAUACAUUCCUUGUGUGUGUGUGUGUGCAAGUGGACUAAAUUCGUAUGGGCGGGUCGGUACAU